CGGGUGAGUAACACGUGGGUAAUCUUCCCUUGAGCGGUGGAUAACAUUCCGAAAGGAGUGCUAAUACAGCAUAAGACCACGACCUCGAAAGGGGUUGAGGUAAAAGACGGCCUCUAUAUAUAAGCUGUCACUUGGGGAUGAGCCCGCGGCCCAUCAGCUAGUUGGUAGGGUAAUGGCCUACCAAGGCGAAGACGGGUAGCUGGUCUGAGAGGAUGAUCAGCCACACUGGAACUGAGACACGGUCCAG
rnacentral:rRNA from 1 species